GGCGCUGUGGCUCAAGUGGUAGAGCGCUAGCCUUGAGCUGAAGAGCGCUUGCCUUGCAUGCUCGAGGCCCUGGGUUCGAUUCCUCAGCACCA
rnacentral:tRNA from 1 species